GUCUCCAUACCGCGGUGUUUCUGUUGUGUGUACCGCUCCAGUCCACAUACCGUGAUGCUACCGGUUGUGUAUAGGUACCUACUGUUGCAGUCUCUAUACCGUAGUGCUACUGUUAUGUGUACCGUUGCAGUCUCUGUACCGCGGCUGUUACUGUUGUGUGUACUGUUGCAGUCCCCAUACCGUUGGGUUCGUGCUGUUGGCAAUGAAGCAGUGUCCGUGUAUGAACGAGAUACUUUUGAGCAAUAUUCUCUUUUUUAUACCGAUAUCUCGGUCCUUCACACCAUCGCCCUGCGUCAGCCACUGCGUUUAAUACUGUCUUCGUCUAAAGUAUGCCGUUCCAGGCCCAUUUUCACUGCAAUGCUGUUCCUCUGCCGAGGGAAAGUGCUAAACUCCGAGUGUUUACCAGUUCAUAGAUAUAUUUCAAAAUCCGGCUCAUGCAUUUAACGGGAAUACAUGCGAUUGUGUUUGUGCGCUCGCAGUGCACGAUCAUUCGUCCACAUUUCGCCGUAUGACGCCAUUGGCACUGUUGCGGCGGCCUCGGCUUGUAAUCUCGCUACAGCCUGUAGGCAAGCAAUAUCACCUGCUGUUCCUUCUCGUUUCACAAGUCUUCUCUGUCCCUGUCUAAAACACCGAUGCGAAAUGGAUGCCGGUCAGGCACAUGGCUGCAACGACCGAAUCCAGAAUGAGCGCAAUGGACCCUGGCUCAGGAUGGUUGCUGGGGUAAUGCAUUCACAUUUGACAUACAUUCGGGUAGGUAUAGCUGUUUUAUAGUCCGCCGUUAAAUCCAGAGAACACUUGGCACCACUGUAAGACUUGUAUCCCACAUUAACCCCGCUCCGGCAGUCACCCCUCAGUGCGGCCGGUGCACAUAUGAUCAGCGGCAGUCUGCUGUGUCAUGUGCGUCCAGUCACGUCACUAACAGAAACUGCACCAGCCGCACCAUCGUUGGCGGUCACCGGCCGGUGUGGCGCGGGGCGCACCAAGGCCGGCGGGCGCCGAGUCUGUAUAUAACCGGCCGGCGGGCGGCAGCGGCCACACAGCCAGCCGACCGACCCACCGACAGCUGCCACCCAGCCCAGACCCAGACGCAUCAUGAACAAACUCGUGAUUCUUUUGCUUGCCGUUUCGGUGGCCGCCGCCUCUGCCGGCUACAGUCGCGGACACGGCGGUGGAUCCAGUGGAUACAGCGGCGGAUCCCGCGGCCACGGUGGAUCCAGCGGAGGGUACAGCGGAGGAUCCCGUGGACACGGUGGAUCAAGCGGUGGAUACAGCAGCGGAUCCCGCGGACACGGUGGGUCCAGUGGAGGGUACAGCGGCGGAUCCCGUGGACACGGUGGAUCCAGCGGCGGAUAUGGCGGAUACAGCGGUGGAUCCAGCGGCGGAUACAAGGGUGGAUCCAGCAGCAGGUACAGCGGCGGAUCAAGCGGCGGGUAUGGUGGUGGAUCCCGUGGAUAUAGUGGUGGAUCCAGCGGACACGGUGGAUCCCGUGGAUACGGCGGUGGAUCCAGCGGCGGAUAUGGAAAGGCAAGCAGUGGAUACCACGGCUAGAUACGACAGUUUAUUCUUAUUUCCUCAAUCUUCUGAUAUGUGUGAAGGCCCUUUCCUCGAUGUGUUGAAAUCCUCCGCCUUCUCGACUGUAUGUAACGGUUAGUUACGGUAUGUCACUUCGAAUAAACGUGGGAAAACAUGA